rnacentral:rRNA from 1 species
CCCUUAGAUGUUCUGGGCCGCACGCGCGCUACACUGACGAGUUCAACGAGUCUAUCCUUGGCCGGAAGGUCCGGGUAAUCUCUAAAUCUCGUCGUGAUGGGGAUAGAUUAUUGCAAUUAUUAAUCUUCAACGAGGAAUUCCUAGUAAGCGUGAGUCAUCAGCUCGCGUUGAUUACGUCCCUGCCCUUUGUACACACCGCCCGUCGCUCCUACCGAUUGAAUGGUCCGGUGAAGCGUUUGGAUGAGUGCGGCGAGGCGGUUCGCCGCCCCUCCGCGCUCAGAAGUUCGUUAAACCUUAUCAUUUAGAGGAAGGAGAAGUCGUAACA